rnacentral:rRNA from 1 species
CUGGUUGAUCCUGCCAGAGGUUACUGCUAUCGAGGUUCGACUAAGCCAUGCGAGUCGAAUGUAGCAAUACAUGGCGAACUGCUCAGUAACACGUGGACAACCUGCCCUUAGGUUGGGUAUAAACCCGGGAAACUGGGUAUAAUACCCGAUAGGUCUCGAUUGCUGGAAUGCAUCGAGAUUUAAAGCUCCGGCGCCUAAGGAUGGGUCUGCGGCCUAUCAGGUAGUAGUGGGUGUAGCGUACCUACUAGCCUACGACGGGUACGGGUUGUGAGAGCAAGAGCCCGGAGAUGGAUUCUGAGACACGAAUCCAGGCCCUACGGGGUGCAGCAGGCGCGAAAACUUUACAAUGCUGGCAACAGCGAUAAGGGAACCUCGAGUGCCAGGUUACAAAUCUGGCUGUCGAGAUGCCUAAAAAGCAUUUCAUAGCAAGGGCCGGGCAAGACCGGUGCCAGCCGCCGCGGUAACACCGGCGGCUCGAGUGGUAACCGUUAUUAUUGGGUCUAAAGGGUCUGUAGCCGGCCGGAUAAGUCUCUUGAGAAAUCUGGCAGCUUAACUGUCAGGCUUUCAGGAGAUACUGUCUGGCUCGAGGCCGGGAGAGGUGAGAGGUACUUCAGGGGUAGGGGUGAAAUCUUGUAAUCCUUGAAGGACCACCAGUGGCGAAGGCGUCUCACCAGAACGGACCUGACGGCAAGGGACGAAAGCUAGGGGCACGAACCGGAUUAGAUACCCGGGUAGUCCUAGCCGUAAACGAUACUCGCUAGGUGUCGGCCACGGUGCGACCGUUGUCGGUGCCGUAGGGAAGCCGUGAAGCGAGCCACCUGGGAAGUACGGCCGCAAGGCUGAAACUUAAAGGAAUUGGCGGGGGAGCACCACAACGGGUGGAGCUUGCGGUUUAAUUGGAUUCAACGCCGGG